rnacentral:rRNA from 1 species
CCUACGGGAGGCAGCAGUGGGGAAUAUUGCACAAUGGGGGAAACCCUGAUGCAGCGACGCCGCGUGAGUGAAGAAGUAUUUCGGUAUGUAAAGCCCUAUCAGCAGGGAAGAAAAUGACGGUACCCACCGAGGAAGCACCGGCUAACUCCGUGCCAGCAGCCGCGGUAAUACGGAGGGUGCAAGCGUUGUCCGGAAUCAUUGGGCGUAAAGAGUUCGUAGGCGGCGUGUAAAGUCAGGUGUUAAAGGCUCAGGCUCAACCUGUGUAUGGCACUUGAUACUUGCAAGCUGGAAUGCGGUAGAGGUAAAGGGAAUUCCUGGUGUAGCGGUAAAAUGCUUAGAGAUCAGGAGGAACA